GGUAUAGCUCAGUUGGUUAGAGCGCUAGAUUGUGGCUCUAGAGGCCGACGGUUCGAAUCCGUCUAC
rnacentral:tRNA from 1 species